AUGGUCGGGCGGAGCUCCCUCCCGGAUGGCGCCCUCUUCCUCGGACUGGACAGCUCCACUCAGUCUGUGAAAGCUACUGUGCUCAGCAAUGAGUUAAUAAUAGUCGCUUCUGAAACUGUUAAUUUUGACUCCGAGUUACCGCACUACAAAACCGAGGGUGGGGUCUACAGAGAUCCUACAGAUGACGGCCGUAUAUAUUCACCAACCAUAAUGUGGGUGGAGGCCUUGGAACUGCUUCUUGAGAAACUAAAACCAAAGAUCAACUUCAGUAAGGUUGUGGCCGUUUCAGGGAGUGGGCAACAGCACGGCAGCGUUUAUUGGAAGAAGGGUAGUCAAGCUGUGCUGUCUUCCCUGGAUCCUGGUAAGAGCUUGGUAUCUCAGCUUAAGGAUGCCUUUUCUACCAUGGACUCGCCAAUAUGGAUGGACAGUAGCACCACCAAGCAAUGCAGAGAAAUAGAAAAUGCUGUCGGAGGAGCAUUGGAGUUAUCUGAGCUGACAGGGUCUCGUGCCUAUGAGAGAUUCACCGGGCCCCAGAUACGGAAGAUCUACCAAACAGCACCCCAUAUUUAUGAAAAUACCGAGAGAAUAUCUUUGGUGAGCUCAUUCAUGGCAUCUAUCCUUGCUGGAUGCUAUGCAAGUAUUGAUGAAACUGAUGGUGCUGGGAUGAACUUGAUGGAUAUAAACCAGAGGACCUGGUCAAAAGCUGUUUUAGAGGCAACUGCUCCUGAUCUUGAACAGAAGCUGGGAAAUCUGGCACCGGCAUAUGCAGCUGCAGGUCGGAUUUCUUCAUAUUUUGUAGAAAGGCAUCAGUUUGACAAGAACUGUUUGGUUAUUCAGUGGUCAGGUGACAAUCCCAAUAGCCUUGCAGGUUUAACACUGAAUACACCUGGCGAUCUUGCAAUCAGCCUUGGUACUAGUGACACAGUUUUUGGGAUUACUGCCGAAGCUAAACCAAGCCUUGAAGGCCAUGUUUUCCCCAACCCUGUUGAACCGGAUGGUUACAUGGUGAUGCUAUGUUACAAAAAUGGCUCAUUGACCCGGGAAGAUGUGCGGAAUCAGUGCGCAGAAAAAUCGUGGGAUGUUUUCAACAACUAUCUAGAGAAAACACCCCCUCUGAAUGGUGGGAAGUUAGGAUUCUACUACAAAGACCAUGAGAUCCUGCCUCCUCUUCCUGUUGGUUUCCACCGAUACAUUGUCGAGAAUUUCAAUGACGCCUCAUCUAAUAAUCUGAAGGAGCAUGAGGUGCAAGAAUUUGAUCCACAAUCUGAGGUCCGUGCCAUCGUCGAGGGUCAGAUGUUGUCCAUGAGAGGGCAUGCCGAGCGGUUUGGCAUGCCCAACCCACCAAAGCGGAUCAUAGCAACUGGUGGGGCAUCCUCCAAUGAGAGCAUCCUCAAGUUGAUCGCGCAAAUCUUUGGCUGCCCUGUCUUCACAGUUGAGAGACCUGAUUCGGCCUCGCUGGGUGCAGCUCUGAGAGCCGCCCACGGGUGGCUGUGCAAGGAGGAAGGAGGUUUUGUUCCCAUCUCCCGGAUGUACACGGGCAACCUGGAGAAGACCUCGCUGGGCGCAAAGCUGGCGGUCCCGGCGCCGGGGGAGGAGGGCAGGGAGCUCCUGAAGAAGUACACGGUGCUCAUGAAGAAGAGGAUGGAGAUCGAGAGACGCCUGGUGGAGAAGAUCGGGCGUGCGUAG
rnacentral:rRNA from 1 species